GUGGGGAAUCUUGCGCAAUGGGCGAAAGCCUGACGCAGCCAUGCCGCGUGAAUGAUGAAGGUCUUAGGAUUGUAAAAUUCUUUCACCGGGGACGAUAAUGACGGUACCCGGAGAAGAAGCCCCGGCUAACUUCGUGCCAGCAGCCGCGGUAAUACGAAGGGGGCUAGCGUUGCUCGGAAUUACUGGGCGUAAAGGGCGCGUAGGCGGACAGUUUAGUCAGAGGUGAAAGCCCAGGGCUCAAACUUGGAAUUGCCUUUGAUACUGGCUGUCUUGAGUACGGGAGAGGUGAGUGGAACUCCGAGUGUAGAGGUGAAAUUCGUAGAUAUACGGAAGAACACCAGUGGCGAAGGCGACUCACUGGCCCGUUACUGACGCUGAGGCGCGAAAGCGUGGGGAGCAAACAGGAUUAGAAACCCGUGUAGUCC
rnacentral:rRNA from 1 species